GUUAGAGAAACCCAUUCCACUCUUACAACAGCACAGCGUUUCUUUACCUUGUAGUGGCUCGUCCUUCACGCCUGAUCAGCCCCAACAGCUGCAGUUCAGAUUUUGUGUAAAGUUUUCCCACGGCUCUCUUUUCACUGUAAUGUUGAGGUUAGGUCCAAAACGAGAGCGGGAUUCAUUGCCACGCAUUUAAUAUCUGCAGUUUGACAUGUAGAGACAAAGAGAGAGGGGCACAUAGAGAGCGAGAGAGAGAGGAGCGCACACUAUACGGUGGGAUAUUUUUGGAUUCCGUCUCCCCUGACUCAGCAGCCAGUGCUUACAUUUAGAGGUUUUUGCUAAGAUCUCAUGCAAGAGGGAAAGACAGAUGUGACUGUGACUGUAAUUUUCACUGAUUCUCGGGUACAGGUAUUUGCCUGAAGAUCUUCGAAUAGACUAUUGCGCACUUUGCGUGAAAGAGUCAGCCAUUGAAAAUGGGUGCGGAAUGUGCACACAUUGUGUAUUCUGAAAUGGUCAAGAAAUAUCGAUAACACUGCAUCCGAGAGAGAACUCGUUACCCAUCACCCACCAGUCAACCCAAUACGGCUUUGAAAUGUAGGUAAUGAAAGUUAACUGUUUUAUUUAACCUGGGGGGGAAAUGUACUUCUAAAACUACAAAAACCGCAAAGAGUGAAGUAAAUUAAGAAACAUAAAGCACAUUUACAGACAUUUUCACAUUAGUACUCUGUCUAUCAUCAUCGCAGAAAUGCUAGCAGGCGGCACUGUAAUUUAACACUUUGUACAAAUGAAGCCUGUGUUUAAUUGUUCCUCCCAAUUGAAUGCUUUAUAACUGGUGGUUUCAAUUCUACCCAUCCCAUAGUGAACUGUUUGUACACAGUAGAAAAGUUUAUGCAUGGAAAAGUGGAUGUAUAUGGGCUGUUAACCCAAUAUGCUAUUUCAGGGAAGCUGCUGACCAGGCCCCACGGCCGUUAAACUAACAUCUCCCUUUUAGGUUAACCGAUCACCACUGUGCUACUGUAUAGCUGAGCCUUCAGAGACUCAGGACACUGCAGCACUCCCUGUUUGAAGCAGUUAGUCUAGGCCCAUGUCCUGAAACCUCAAAUACCACCAUAAUUUCCCAAAUAAUUAACUUAAAUCUAAGUUAAAGCUGGUAAUUUGUAUUCAUACAACAUACUUUGCCUGAUCAUGAGUACAAACAAAGCAACUGCGAUGGUGCUUCAAUCAGGAAGUGGGCAGUUACUCUCACCCCUCUCCCUAAGUGGAGCUGUCACGUUCCUGACCUUAUUUCCUUUGUUUUAGUCAUUGUUUAGUUGGUCAGGACGUGAGCUGGGUGGGUAUUUUCAAUGUUAUGUGUUUUCAUUGGUUUAGGGUUGUCUAACUAGCCUGAUAUGGUUCUCAAUCAGAGGCAGGUGUUUUACGUUGUCUCUGAUUGGGAACCAUAUUAAGGUAGGCUGUUCUCACUGUUUGUUUGUGGGUGAUUGUUCCUGUUCGUUGCGUUCUUUGUUUUCUAGAUUCACAUGUUCAGGUCUGUAGCGUCGUUGGUUUAGUUCUGUUUAUUGUUUUUGUUCGUGUUGAAUAAGUGUUCGAAUAAAUUUGGAUGCAUACCACGCUGCAAUUUGGUCCUCCUCUCCUUCAACCAACGACGAGAGUCGUUACAGGAGCGGCCAUCUUUACAGUCUCUAGAUAUGCACAUAGCAAAGCAAGCUAAAUAAAUUCUACAUGUUAUCUCACACUAAAAUCUUUACAAAGUUUACCAUUUGCAUGUUUUAUCUUUAUUUGAAUAAUUUUGUGUAUCUUACUGUUCAAUCAUCACAGCUUCCCAUCUUUCUUUACAGAGCACAGCCUGUGAAACAGUUUGGACAACAGCCCUGAGACUAAUGUAGAGCUGACAAUAGCUGACUAAUUAACACAAUAGACAACAAUACAGUUUCUUCCGGAGUUUUACUGACUUUGUGCGUACUAAAUCCAACCCACAUCUCCUCUGCAGUAGCACAGAGCCAGCAAGCUCCAUUCCCUUCCCAGCUAUGGCUCCCCCUAGCCGUGCUGCCAUAUUUCCUUGUUUAUGCACAGCAUAAUGGCCUGUCCCUCCCUUCUCUAUAACAUUAUACAGACACCACCUAGCACCUGAAAAUCUCAAUUUUUCUGGAUACAUUUUGAAAUUAGAGUCUCUAUAUACCCCAUAUCCAUCCAAUGGCACCCUAACCAUAGUGGAACAUAACUUUUCUUACCUUUACAAAGUGCCUCUCUCUAUACUUCUCUCUCUCCAAAGUCCCAACCUCGAUAGCCUCCUUCUUCUUCCCAGAAAUCCCUGCAAAAGGGGCACUUCCAUGUAAGUUUUAUUUGUAGGGGUGCUCAUAUUGGACUCAACCAUUACUGUAAAAUAUAGAAGGCCCCAGAUGCUCAGUAAGGGCUAUUUGGGAACAUAGUCCCACAAGUGCCAACAUGUCCCUUUCAAAUGGGAUGACACUGGCACUAUACGCCUCCCCAAACUCCCUCUGUCCUCCCCACAAUGACUUUCACAUCAUAUGGCCCAUCCACCAGUCUUACAGCCUAUACUGAGAAGACAUUUUCACUUGCUGCACAAAUUAGCUCUCAGAGAGUUUUCACUGGGGUUUUGUAGAUUCACCAAGCCUUGAAGCCUCUUAGAGCGGCUCAAAAUCAUUGCUAGGGGAUAUUUUGGACACACAGAGACCCCUUUUUAUUGAAACUGACCAUUUGAAUGCAGAGGAAAAUAUGCCGGUGGGAAUAUGAUGCAAUCAAGCAAAAAGAGAGCACCGUCUCCAAUUGUCCCUCUUCAAAAGUGCAGAGAUGUAUCCAGUGGGACAAGGAGCUUUUCACUCACACAAUGAGAAGGUAAUUAAGCUUCUGAAGUUUAACAUGUAAUUUUUAAGAAUGUUUUUCUUCAUAUAUUACUGAACAAAUCAUCAAUUUAAGGGGUGGUGGAUGACUAAUGCCAAUUUUGGGGUCCGUGCUUUGAAAGGCAAACAGGUAAGCUCACUAACUGUAGUGCACUGUAGUGCACAAGGUAAGGACUUCAUUCUUGUUCAAAACUAUAUGUAUAUACAUAAAUUAACUAUUUCUUUAAAUAAUUUUAAGGUGUCAUAUAAUAUCAAUGGUGUAUCAUCUCAAACUUAAAUUAUACAUAUUUACCAUAUAGUCUACAAUAUACAACUACCACUUUUUUAUAAUAUUUUAUUCAGCACUAGCCUUCAGUUGACAGUAUGGUCCUGAAACUAGAUAACAUGCUAAUGUUUUUAAAAUAAACGUACAUAAAUAUUGAGUCUUUAAUAUCAGAAAAUGAACAAAACAUAGCCUAGCAGUUUAAGACUUGACUGAACCAAAUUUGAUACAGCCUACCUGAAUAAGCAGCUAUAUUUCAUGAUCUGACAGUAGGCAUCAAGACAUGAAAUGAGUAUGCUUUAGAAAUGUCCAGUGUUUUAAAAACAAACACCAAAACUUUGUAGUCUUAUUUCACAGUAUUUCCAAAGUAGAAGUGGUGGUAAAACAAAUGGCAGUAUUUUCCUGCGAGUCCAGACUUGAGCUGAUUCUUGUCCUAAAACAAAAAGAUCCCCAAACCAGUCGUCAACUGCCCAAAGCAACAUCAGAUCAAUCCACACCUUCAUGGUCAAAAUAGGGUGUAAAACGUGGUCUUCAUUUCUAAAACCGUAAAUAACAAACUCCGAAACACCUGCCCAGAACGAAUCUCAACACUACAGCACAGAUAUGCUAUUUAAAUUAAAUUAUGUAUUCGUAAACAAUGAAAAAUGAUAUUCAAUCGAAUAAAAAUGAGACACUAGGUACAUUCAGAAUAUGGAGACAGGCUUCAGCACAGGACUGGAGAUGUCAGCUGCUGGCACACGCCUGACCCUUUUGUUCAUGAGAACAGCCGCAACUGUCAGACUAGAAUAGAGCACAUUUAUGAGCGGAAUAAGGACCAAAAACAGAAAUUAAGUGGUAAUGUAUCUGAACAGUAGCCAACAGCCAUCGUGAACAGCCAUCAUGGUAAUAAGCAUCACAUUUGAGUUGUCUGUUGGUGGUUUGAAUGCGUAAAUAUGUAGGCCUACACACACCUGGAUGUUGCCAAAGACAGACGUCCUUGUUGAUGGGGGUUUGUUUGGAGACAGGCAGACCAUUGCAUGGGUUACAAGGGAAACGCUAACCUAAAUAGCGGCGCAUACUAUUCGAUACAUAAGGUUUCUUAUAAGAGCAUAUGAUUUGAGCAGUUUACAUUUUAAACCUUCUAGCUACCCAAGGUUGAAUUAUACAUAAGGGCUUAAUGCUAGGCUAAAUGUUGCCUUUCACUGCAAGUCCUAACACAUAUCAAUAAAAUCAAUCAAUAUCUACAGUGUAACAGUAUCGCAUUCCCAUCAUGAUAUGAGGCUAAGCUAUGGUCUGCGUGUGUAAAACACGCGCCAACGUCACUACGCUUCUACAUUGGAACAGAGCAUAUGUAUGAAAUACAGUAAUAAUGAAUGAAUGCCUUCACUUUUGUUUCAUUGGUGUUCUUUAUAAUGUUGUAACUUUUGAAUAUCUGUACUAUUUAUUAGUGGCGUCAUGCACUCCAAACAUCUGAGGGGCACAAAGUAUGUGAGGAUGGCUUGGGGGUGGUCAGGAGAGGGGCUUGCCCCCUGUUCAUAAGUUGGAGAAAAUUGCAUUUUUCAAACACAUUAAUUAAACAGCUUUUCUUGCAAUCUAGAGCCAUGAUCAUUAUGCUUAAUUCUGUCAAACAUUUUUGUUUUUCUGCAUAUCUAAGCAUACAGUUUAAGUCGGAAGUUUACAUACACCUUAGCCAAAUACAUUUAAACUCAGUUUUUCACAAUUGUUGACAUUUAAUCCUAGUAAAAAUUCCCUGUCUUAGGUCAGUUACGAUCACCACUUUAUUUUAAGAAUGUGAAAUGUCAGAAUAAUAGUAGAGAGAAUGAUUUAUAUCAGCUUUAAUUUCCUUCAUUACAUUCCCAGUGGGUCAGAAGUUUACAUACACUCAAUUGGUAUUUGGUAGCAUUGCCUUCAAAUAGUUUAACUUGGGUCAAACGUUUUUUGUAGCCUUCCCACAAGCUUCCCACAAUAAGUUGGGUGAAUUUUAGCCCAUCUCUUCAGACAGAGCUAGUGUAACUGAGUCAGGUUUGUAGGCCUCCUUGUUCGCACAUGCUUUUUCAGUUCUUCCCACAAAUGUUCUAUAGGAUUGAGGUCAGGGCUUUGUGAUGGCCACUCCUAUACCUUGACUUUGUUGUGCUUAAGCCAUUUUGCCACAACUUUGGAAGUAUGCUUGGUGUCAUUGUCCAUUUGGAAGACCCAUUUGCGAACAAGCUUCAACUUCGUGACUGAUGUCUUGAGAUGUUGCUUCAAUAUAUCCACAUAAUUUUCCUCCCCCUGAUGCCAUCUAUUUUGUGAAGUGCACCAGUCCCUCCUGCAUCAAAGCACCCCCACAACAUGAUGCUACCACCCCUGUGCUUCACGUUCUUUGGCUUGCAAGCCUCCCCCUUUUUCCUCCAAACAUAAAGAUGGUCAUUAUGGCCAAACAGUUCUAUUUUUGUUUCAUCAGACCAGAGGACAUUUCUCCAAAAAGUAUGAUCUUUGUCCCCAUGUGUAGUUGCAAACCGAAGUCUGGCUUUUUUAUGGCGGGUGUAAUGCCCGAUGUGUAGUGGAUGAACAGGAGUCAACGCAGGAGACAGAGAGUUCAGAGUAGCGUUCAAAAUUUAAUUACUCACACGGUUGCAAACACGACGCUACUCAAAAAACAAAUGCUUCACCCCACAUAGAGUGAGAACCACGGAAAAUACCAACCAACACGAUACCCAGACACAACAAGAAUGUACAGAGUGUACACACAACAAUCCCGCACACCCAGCAGGCCGGGCUGCUGGGUAAUAAAGCCCCACAAAUCACCCUAACCACAAACAGGUGCACCUACUCAACAAAAAGGGAGGGGGAGGAAAAGUCAGUAGCAGCUAGUAGGCUGGUGACGACGACCGCCGAGCACCACCCGAACAGGAAGGGGAGCCACCUUCGGUGGGAGUCGUUACAGUACCCCCCACCCUGACGCGCGGCUCCCGCAGCGCGCCGACACCGGCCUCGAGGACGACCCGGAGGGCGAGGCGCAGGGCGAUCCGGAUGGAGGUGAUGGAAAUCCCUCAACAUCGAUGGAUCCAGAAUGUCCCCCACCGGUACCCAGCACCUCUCCUCCAGACCGUACCCCUUCCAGUCCACAAGGUACUGCAGGCCCCUCACCCGGCGUCUUGAGUCCAGAAUGGCUCGUAUCCUGUACGCCGGGGACCCCUCAAUGUCGAGAGGGGGAGGAGGGUCCUCCGGUACCUCACCGUUCUGCAGGGGACCAGCUACCACCGGCGUGAGGAGAGACACAUGAAACGAGGGGUUAAUACGAUAAUAGGAAGGGAGUUGUAAUCGAUAACACACCUCGUUUAUUCUCCUCAGGACUUUGAAGGGCCCUACACACUGCGGACCCAGCUUCCGGCAGGGCAAGCGGAGGGGCAGGUUUCGGGUCGAGAGCCAGACCCUGUCCCCCGGUACAAACACAGGGGCCUCACUGCGGUGGCGGUCAGCACUCCUCUUCUGCCGUCCACUAGCUUGUUGGAGGGAUUCCUGGACGGCCCUCCAUGUCUCCUUGGAGCGCUGCACCCAUUCCUCCACUGCAGGAGCCUCGGUCUGGCUCGGAUGCCAUGGUGCCAGGACCGGCUGGUACCCCAAUACACACUAAAAGGGGGACGUGUUAGUAGAGGAGUGGCGUAGAGAGUUCUGGGCCAUUUCGGCCCAAGGGAUGUAUCUCGCCCACUCCCCUGGCCGGUCCUGGCAAUACGACCGCAGAAACCUACCCACCUCCUGGUUCACUCUCUCCACCUGCCCAUUACUCUCAGGGUGAUAACCGGAGGUAAGGCUAACCGAGACCCCCAAACGCUCCAUAAACGCCCUCCAUACUCUGGACGUGAACUGGGGGCCCCGAUCAGAAACGAUGUCCUCCGGCACCCCGUAGUGCCGGAAGACGUGGGUGAAUAAUGCCUCCGCAGUCUGUAGGGCUGUAGGGAUACCGGGCAACGGGAGGAGACGACAGGUCUUAGAAAACCGAUCCACAAUCACCAGCACCGUAGUAUUCCCUUGAGACGGGGGAAGGUCGGUCAGGAAAUCUACGGAUAGAUGUGACCAAGGCCGUUGUGGAACGGGGAGGGGUUGUAACUUCCCUCUAGGAAGGUGCCUAGGAGCCUUACUCUGAGCGCAUACCGAACAGGAAGAGACAUAAAACCCAACGUCCUUAGCCAAAGUAGGCCACCAAUACCUCCCCCGAAGGCUCCCCACUGUCCUCCUGACCCCAGGGUGACCCGAGUAGGGUAGGACGUGAGCCCACCGAAUCAAUUUGUCCCGAACACCAAGCGGCACAUACUUCCGCCCCGCCGGACACUGAGGAGGAGCGGGUUCCGCCCUUAAUGCCCGCUCGAUAUCCGAGUCCACCUCCCACACCACUGAUGCUAUAAGCCUUGAGGCGGGAAGGAUGUGGGUAGGUUCGGUGGGCCGAUCCUCCGUGUUGAAACAACGGGACAGUGCAUCCGCCUUUAUGUUUUGGGAGCCCGGUCUGUACGAUAGAGUAAACUGGAAUUGGGUGAAGUACAUGGCCCACCUUGCCUGACGUGGGUUCAGUCUCCUAGCUGCCCGAAUAUACUUCAGAUUCUGGUGGUCGGUCCAGAUGAGAAAAGGGUGCUUAGCCCCCUCAAGCCAGUGUCUCCACACUUUCAGAGCACUGACCCCCGCUAACAACUCCCGGUCCCCCACAUCAUAGUUACGCUCCGCUGGGCUGAGCUUCUUAGAGAAAAAAGCGCAGGGGUGUAGUUUUUGUGGCGUACCCGAGCGCUGUGAUAGCACGGCACCUACCCCAGCCUCGGACGCGUCCACCUCCACUAUGAAUGCUAGAGAGGGAUCCGGAUGCGCCAACACGGGCGCCUCCGUGAACAGCGCCUUCAACCGGUUGAAAGCUCUGUCCGCUUCUGCUGACCACUGCAAACGCACCGGACCCCCCUUCAGCAGUGAGGUAAUGGGAGCUGCUACCUGGCCAAAACCCCGGAUAAACCUCCGGUAGUAGUUGGCAAAACCCAAAAACCGCUGCACUUCUUUUACUGUGGUCGGAGUCGGCCAAUUACGCACGGCCUUAAUGCGUUCACCCUCCAUCACCACCCCCGAGGUGGAAAUGCGAUAACCCAGAAAGGAGACGGCUCGUUUGGAGAACACACACUUCUCAGCCUUGACAUAUAGGUCAUGCUCCAGCAGUCUACCAAGCACUUUGCGUACUAGAGACACAUGCGCGGCGUGAGUGGCUGAGUAGAUCAGAAUGUCAUCGAUAUAAACAACCACUCCCUGCCCGUGCAGGUCCCUGAGAAUAUCGUCUACAAAGGAUUGGAAAACGGCGGGAGCAUUCUUUAACCCAUAUGGCAUGACGCAGUACUCAUAAUGGCCCGAUGUGGUACUAAAUGCGGUUUUCCACUCGUCUCCCUUCCGAAUACGUACCAGACUGUACGCGCUCCUGAGAUCCAGUUUUGUGAAGAACUGCGCUCCGAGAAAUGAUUCCAUUGCCGUAGCAAUGAGAGGUAGUGGGUAACUAAAACCCACUGUGACGGAAUUUAGACCUCUAUAAUCAAUACACGGACGCAAACCUCCCUCCUUUUUCUUCAGAAAAAAGAAACUCGAGGAGACGGGUGAGAUGGAGGACCGAAUGUACCCCUGUCCCAGAGACUCAGUGACAUAUGUCUCCAUAGCCACCGUCUCCUCUUGGGACAAAGGGUACACGUGACUCUUAGGAAGCGCAGCGUUUUCCUGGAGAUCUAUCGCACAAUCCCUACCCGGUCGAUAAGGUGGUAAUUUAGUCGCUUUCUUUUUACUAAAAGCGAUCGGCAUACUCGGGGGGGAAUGCGAACUGUGGACACCUGGUCUGGACUCUCCACCGACGUGGCACCGAUGGAAACUCCCAAACACCUUCCAGAACACUCCUCUGACCACCCCUGGAGAACCCCCUGUUUCCACGAAAUAGUAGGAUUGUGACUAGCCAGCCAGGGAAUCCCCAGUACCACUGGAAACGCAGGCGAAUCUAUAAUGUAAAAACUUAUACGUUCCUUAUGAUCCCCCUGCGUCACCAUGUCCAGUGGAACCAUGGCCUCCCGGACCAAACCUGACCCUAAUGGCUGGCUAUCUAGGGAGUGCACGGGAAAAGGAGAAUCUAUCGGCACAAGCGGAACACCCAGCUUGAUGGCGAGUCCGCGAUCCAUAAAGUUCCCAGCUGCACCUGAAUCGACUAGUGCCUUAUGCUGGGAAGAGGGAAAAAACUUAAGGAAAAAAAUUAAGACAAACAUAUGACUAACAGGGUAUUCUGGGUGAGUCUGGUGCUUACUCACCUGAGGUGACCGAGAAAUGUUCCGCCUGCCAUCUCGACCCCCAGAUGGACCCCCCCAGCACCGAUCGGCAGUGUGUCCUCUCCGACCACAGCUGGUGCAGGGGGAGCCUCCUCCUCCGGUACCCCUCGGCACGGCCCCUCCCAACUCCAUGGGAAUGGGUGCAGGGGUGCUGGGUGGUGGAACGCACAGGACCCUCUCCGAUCGGCCGCGGGAAGCCAGCAGAUUGUCCAGCCGGAUGGACAUAUCAAUAAGCUCAUCCAGGGAGAGAGCUUCGUCCCGGCAUGCUAGCUCCCUGCGGACAUCCUCCCGGAGACUACAUCUGUAGUGAUCUAUAAGGGCCCUGUCGUUCCACCCAGACCCCGCGGCCAAGGUCCGAAAAGCAAGACGGAGCGCGCUGGAGCCGGAGGAUGGUGAGAGAGGAGAGGAGGAAUCCUGAGCUGGAGAGACUGCAGGUGGAGAGAGGAGACCACUCCUCUCCCAUCGGGUCAUUCUCUCCAUCAUUUGAUCCAUGGCGGAACCGAUGCGAUGGAGUACGGUAGUGUGAUGUAGUACCCGUUCUUCCAUAGAUGGGAGUGGGUUUGCCGCUGCUCCUGCUGACUCCAUACUUAAUAAUGGUGCGGGAUUCUGUAAUGCCCGAUGUGUAGUGGAUGAACAGGAGUCAAACGCAGGAGACAGAGUUCAGAGUAGCGUUCAAAAUUUAAUUACCCACACGGGUGCAAACACGACGCUACUCAAAAAACAAAUGCUUCACCCCACAUAGAGUGAGAACCACGGAAAAUACCAACCAACACGAUACCCAGACACAACAAGAAUGUACAGAGUGUACAUACAACAAUCCCGCACACCCAGCAGGCCGGGCUGCUGGGUAAUAAAGCCCCACAAAUCACCCUAACCACAAACAGGUGCACCUACUCAACAAAAAGGGAGGAGGAGGAAAAGUCAGUAGCAGCUAGUAGGCCGGUGACGACGACCGCCGAGCACCACCCGAACAGGAAGGGGAGCCACCUUCGGUGGGAGUCGUUACAGCGGGUUUGUAGCAGUGGCUUCUUCCUUACUGAGCGGCCUUUCAGGUUAUGUCGAUAUAGGACUUGUUUUACUGUGGAUAUAGAUACUUUUGUACCUGUUUCCUCCAGCAUCUUCACAAGGUCCUUUGCUGUUGUUCUGGGAUUGAUUUGCACUUUUCGCACCAAAGUACGUUCAUCUCUAGGAGACAGAACGCGUCUCCUUCCUGAGCGGUAUGAUGGCUGUGUGAUCCCAUGGUGUUUAUAUUUGCGUACUAUUGUUUGUACAGAUGAACGUGAUACCUUCAGGCAUUUGGAAAUUGCUCCCAAAGUGUGAACCAGACUUGUUUUUUUUCUGAGGUCUUGGCUUUUGAUUUUCCCAUGAUGUCAAGCAAGGAGGCAUUGAGUUUGAAGGUAGGCACUGAAAUGCAUCCACAGGUACACCUCAAAUUGACUCAAAAUAUGUCAAUCAGCCUAUCAGAAGCUUCUAAAGCCAUGCCACCAUUUUCUGGAAUUUUCCAAGCUGUUUAAAGGCACAGUCAACUUAGUGUAUGUAAACUUCUGACCCACUGGAAUUGUGAUACAGUGAAUUAUAAGUGAAAUAAUCUCUGUUAAAAAUUGUUGGAAAAAUUACUUGUGUCAUGCACAAAGUAGAUGUCCUAACCGACUUGCCAAAACUAUAGUUUGUUAACAAGACAUUUGUGAAGUGGUUGAAAAACGAGUUUAAAUGACUCCAACCUAAGUGCAUAUAAACUUAUGACUUCAACUACCUUUUGAGAUGUUUGUAUCCUCCUGACUAGUGGUUAUUUUUUAAAUAAACUAAAUAUGCUUCUCUGCAUCUCUGCUAAAAUAUGGGUAAAAUAUUGAAAGCAAUGUGAGUCUUAUUCAGUACAUUUAGUUAUUGGUUGCUUUUCUAAAGUCUACCAAUCUUGCUAGCAGGCAUGCCAGUGAAGAUGAUAGUUAGACAAGCUAGCUACUCUAACUUGAUUGAUUGCCUCAACCUAUCUGGGAUAGCUAAAGCCAACUUCAUAAAAUUGCUAGGUGGCUAGUAGUAUUACUUUUUAAAUUAAAUUCAGAUGUUGUGUCACUGAUCUACAUACCCCAUAACGUCAAAGUGGAAUUGUGUUUUUAGAAAUGUUAACAAAUUCAUAAAAAAUUAAUUGAGUAAAUAAAUAUGCAAUCCUUUUGUUAUGGCAAGCCUAAAUAAGUUCAGAAGUAAAAAUGUGCUUAACAAGUCACAUAAUAAGUUGCAUGGACUCACUCUGUAUACAAUAAUACUGUUUAACAUGACUACCCCAUCUCUUUACCUCACACAUACAAUUAUCUGUAAGGUCCCUAAGUCGAACAGUGUAUUUCAGGCAUAGAUUCAACUACAAAGACCAGGAAGGUUUUCCUAUGUUUUGCAAAGAAGGGUAUAAAAAGCAGACAUUGAGUAUCCCUUUGAGCGUGGUGCAGUUAUUAAUUGUACACUGUAUCAAUACACCCAGUCACUACAAAGAUACAGGUGCCCUUACUAAAUCAGUUGCCGGAGAGGAAAGACACCCUUCUUGGAUUUCACCAUGCCAAUGUAACAGAGUUUAAUGGUUGUAACAGAUUUUAAUGGUUGUGAUAGAAUACUGAGGAUGGAUCAACAACAUCGUUACUCCGCAAUAGUAACAUAAAUGACAGAGUGAAAAGAAGGAAGCAUGGACAGAAUAAGACAUAUUCUAAAACAUGCAUCCUGUUUGCACUGAAGUAAUACUGCAAAUAAAUUGGCAAAUACAUUAACUUUUUGUCCUGAAUACAAAGCGUUAUGUUUGGGAAAAUCCAACCCAUCACUGAGUACCACUCUUCAUAUUUUCAAGAAUGGUAAUAGCUGCAUCAUGUUAUGGGUUGGCAUGAGCUAAGAGCUAAGAGCUAAGAGCUAAGCACAGGCAGAAUCCUUGAGGAAAACCUGGUUCAGUCUGCUUUCCAACAGACACUGGGAGACAAAUUCAGAUUUCUACAGAACAAUAAUCGAAAACAAAAGGCCAAAUAUGCACUGGAGUUGCUUACCAAGACGUUAUUAAAUGUUCCUGAGUGGCUUAGUUACAGUUUGGACUUAAAUCGGCUUUAACAUCUAUGGCAAGACUUGAAAAUGGCUGUCUAGCAAUGACCAAUAACCAACUUGACAGAGUGUGACACAUUUUUUAAAGAAUAAUGGUCAAAUAUUGUAUAAUCCAGGUGUGCAAAGCUCUUAAAGGCUUACCCAGAAAAACACACAGGUGUAAUCGCUGCCAAAGGUGAUUGUAACAUGUAUUGACUCAGGAAGUUUAAUACUUAUCCAAUCAAGAUAUAUUAGUGUGUUAUUUUCCAUUAAUACAAAAUGUAUAUACUUUUUCUUCCACUGACAUUACAGGGUAUUUUGUGAAUAUCAUUGACAAUCAAAUCAAUUUGAAUCCCACUUUGUAACAAAACAAAAUGUUUAAAAAGUCAAGGAGUGUGAAGCCUUUCCUUUCUGAAGGCUCUGUAAUACUGUAUAUAAUGUAAACUCAGCAAAAAAAGAAACAUCAUCUCACUGUCAACUGUGUUUAUUUUCAUCAAACUUAACAUGUGUAAAUAUUUGUAUGAACAUAACAAGAUUCUACAACUGAGACAUAAACUGAACAAGUUCCACAGACAUGUGACUAACAGAAAUGGAAUAAUGUGUCCCUGAACAAAGGGAGGGGGGGGUCAAAAUCAAAAGUAACAGUCAGUAUCUGGUGUGGCCACCAGCUGCAUUAAGUACUGCAGUGCAUCUCCUCCUCAUGGACUGCACCAGAUUUGCCAGUUCUUGCUGUGAGAUGUUACCCCACUCUUCCACCAAGGCACCUGCAAGUUCCCGGACAUUUCUGUGGGGGAAUAGCCCUAGACCUCACCCUCCGAUCCAACAGGUCCCAGACGUGCUCAAUGGGAUUGAGAUCCGAGGUCUUCGCUGGCCAUGGCAGAACACUGACAUUCCUGUCUUGCAGAAAAUAACGCACAGAACGAGCAGUAUGGCUGGUGGCAUUGUCAUGCUGGAGGGUCAUGUCAGGACGAGCCUGCAGGAAGGGUACGACAUGAGGGAGGAGGAUGUCUUCCCUGUAACACACAGUGUUGAAAUUGCCUGCAAUGACAACAAGCUAAGUCCGAUGAUGCUGUGACACACCGCCCCAGACCAUGACUGACCCUCCACCUCCAAAUCGAUUCCGCUCCAGAGUACAGGCCUCGGUGUAACGCUCAUUCCUUUGACGAUAAACGCAAAUCCGACCAUCACCCCUGGUGAUACAAAACCGUGACUCAUCAGUGAAGAGCACUAUUUGCCAGUUCUGUCUGGUCCAGCGACGGUGGGUUUGUGCCCAUAGGCGAUGUUGUUGCCGGUGAUGUCUGGUGAGGACCUGCCUUACAACAGGCCUACAAGCCCUCAGUCCAGCCUCUCUCAGCCUAUUGCGGACAGUCUGAGCAAUGAUGGAGGGAUUGUGCGUUCCUGGUGUAACUCGGGCAGUUGUUGUUGCCAUCAUGUACCUGUCCCGCAGGUGUAAUGUUCGGAUGUACCGAUCCUGUGCAGGUGUUGUUACACGUGGUCUUCCACUGCGAGGAUGAUCAUCUGUCCGUCCUGUCUCCCUGUAGCGCUGUCUUAGGCAUCUCACAGUACGGACAUUGCAAUUUAUUGCCCUGGCCACAUCUGUAGUCCUCAUGCCUCCUUGCAGCAUGCCUAAGGCACGUUCACGCAGAUGAGCAGGGACCCUGGGCAUCUUUCUUUUGGUGUUUUUCAGAAUAAGUAGAAAGGCCUCUUUAGUGUUCUAAGUUUUCAUAACUGUGACCUUAAUUGCCGUCUGUAAGCUGUUAGUGUCUUAACGACCGUUCCACAGGUGCAUGUUCAUUAAUUGUUUAUGGUUCAUUGAACAAGCAUAGGAAACCGUUUUUAAAACCUUUACAAUGAAGAUCUGUGAAGUUAUUUGGAUUUUUACACAUUAUCUUUGAAAGACAGGGUCCUGAAAAAGGGACGUUUCUUUUUUUGCUGAGUUUAUUUAUUUAAACAGGACAAAACGUGCCACUGUGGGCAUGACACCUCUGCUAUUUAUGUUUGUGUUAUUGUUAUAAUAAACAAGGGGAAAAUAAAUACAUCAGAGCAAUAUUUCAGGGUAAGGUUCUUCUGUCCAUGAUAUGCCAUGCAUGUUGAUGUUUCUAUGUCAUUUUGAUGUUUUCUAUAAGCACUAAGGCUAGGCAAUGGGAGAUGGAGCCUACAUGCAAUAGAUUAUUACACAUUAUCACACACUGUCUAUACUUUAUGCUGCUUUAGUGACGAUAUUCAAUGCAAAAUUGUACAGAGAUACUUUUUUGGUCAAUAAAAUGUAAUAUUUCAA